rnacentral:rRNA from 1 species
AUGCUGGAGGUAUCAGAAGUGCGAAUGCUGACAUAAGUAACGAUAAAGCGGGUGAAAAGCCCGCUCGCCGGAAGACCAAGGGUUCCUGUCCAACGUUAAUCGGGGCAGGGUGAGUCGACCCCUAAGGCGAGGCCGAAAGGCGUAGUCGAUGGGAAACAGGUUAAUAUUCCUGUACUUGGUGUUACUGCGAAGGGGGGACGGAGAAGGCUAUGUUGGCCGGGCGACGGUUGUCCCGGUUUAAGCGUGUAGGCUGGUUUUCCAGGCAAAUCCGGAAAAUCAAGGCUGAGGCGUGAUGACGAGGCACUACGGUGCUGAAGCAACAAAUGCCCUGCUUCCAGGAAAAGCCUCUAAGCAUCAGGUAACAUCAAAUCGUACCCCAAACCGACACAGGUGGUCAGGUAGAGAAUACCAAGGCGCUUGAGAGAACUCGGGUGAAGGAACUAGGCAAAAUGGUGCCGUAACUUCGGGAGAAGGCACGCUGAUAUGUAGGUGAAGUCCCUCGCGGAUGGAGCUGAAAUCAGUCGAAGAUACCAGCUGGCUGCAACUGUUUAUUAAAAACACAGCACUGUGCAAACACGAAAGUGGACGUAUACGGUGUGACGCCUGCCCGGUGCCGGAAGGUUAAUUGAUGGGGUUAGCGCAAGCGAAGCUCUUGAUCGAAGCCCCGGUAAACGGCGGCCGUAACUAUAACGGUCCUAAGGUAGCGAAAUUCCUUGUCGGGUAAGUUCCGACCUGCACGAAUGGCGUAAUGAUGGCCAGGCUGUCUCCACCCGAGACUCAGUGAAAUUGAACUCGCUGUGAAGAUGCAGUGUACCCGCGGCAAGACGGAAAGACCCCGUGAACCUUUACUAUAGCUUGACACUGAACAUUGAGCCUUGAUGUGUAGGAUAGGUGGGAGGCUUUGAAGUGUGGACGCCAGUCUGCAUGGAGCCGACCUUGAAAUACCACCCUUUAAUGUUUGAUGUUCUAACGUUGACCCGUAAUCCGGGUUGCGGACAGUGUCUGGUGGGUAGUUUGACUGGGGCGGUCUCCUCCUAAAGAGUAACGGAGGAGCACGAAGGUUGGCUAAUCCUGGUCGGACAUCAGGAGGUUAGUGCAAUGGCAUAAGCCAGCUUGACUGCGAGCGUGACGGCGCGAGCAGGUGCGAAAGCAGGUCAUAGUGAUCCGGUGGUUCUGAAUGGAAGGGCCAUCGCUCAACGGAUAAAAGGUACUCCGGGGAUAACAGGCUGAUACCGCCCAAGAGUUCAUAUCGACGGCGGUGUUUGGCACCUCGAUGUCGGCUCAUCACAUCCUGGGGCUGAAGUAGGUCCCAAGGGUAUGGCUGUUCGCCAUUUAAAGUGGUACGCGAGCUGGGUUUAGAACGUCGUGAGACAGUUCGGUCCCUAUCUGCCGUGGGCGCUGGAGAACUGAGGGGGGCUGCUCCUAGUACGAGAGGACCGGAGUGGACGCAUCACUGGUGUUCGGGUUGUCAUGCCAAUGGCACUGCCCGGUAGCUAAAUGCGGAAGAGAUAAGUGCUGAAAGCAUCUAAGCACGAAACUUGCCCCGAGAUGAGUUCUCCCUGACYCYUURAGRGUCCUGAAGGAACGUUGAAGACGACGACGUUGAUAGGCCGGRUGUGUAAGCGCAGCGAUGCGUUGAGCUAACCGGUACUAAUGAACCGUGAGGCUUAACCUU